AAAAAUAUUGUCAGUCAGGGGAAACGACUCUAUUACUCUAAUGGAAGCGCCAUCUUGAUGCUAAGAAAGUUCUUUUCCUGUUUAAGAAAAGGUUGAUUUAGCGGAUCGUAUAUAUCAGAAUGACAAAAAUGUCAGCUUCUGGUGGAAGACAAGUAAAGAAUUCAUGAGAAACCCAUUCUUUAACACUGUUAUAUUCAGUGCCAUCUGAGCUGACAACUGCACCAGAAAUAGAUAUUUUAAUAGGGACACUUAUAUCUGGAUACUGGGGAAUACAGCAAAAGAAAUUUAGUAAGGACAGCUGUGGGAACUUCAGGACACUACUGGAUGCUCGUGUGAUUGUGGAUUGAUCGGUAAUGGAAAUACAGUGUCACAUACAGAUGCUGAUGUUGAAUCUAUGUACAUAUGAUCCAAAGAAAUGACUUUUACAUUUUCUUCAGAUUUUGUUCCUAAGCUUCUUAUUGAAUAUACAAACUUUUCAUGGAGUUCUAAAGUUGUCUGAAAUUUUUGGAAUUGUGUUUGUAAAAAAGACUCAAUUUUUUGACAUUCGUGUUUAUGAAAGCAAAAAGACUCUUUUGUAAUUUUUUCAUACUCAUAUUUUAAAUAAUUUAAAAAAUAUUCUAAGUGUGCCUUUAUUGGACUGUUAUGUUCUGUCAUCUGUACAAUAAUUUCUACUCCCGAAAUUAAAUAGUUUUCUCUUUGUCUGAGAAAUUUCAAUAAAUUGUCUAUGUUUAUGUGAUCAAAACAUCUAUACUGGAUGUUUGCUGUAUUCCUGGAAAUAUUUUUAUCUGAAUUUGGUGGGGUUGUUUCAAUGGUUUUGAAACUGCCAACAUCUGUGAAUUCACACAUUUUCUUGUAGUUCAUUUCUGAUGUUUAAUACACAUGUACUGAAAAAAAGAGUCGGGUCGUCCAAACAAGGAAAAAUAAUAUUGACCAAAUGAGCAAUGAAAAUGCGGUAAAGUUCAGAUUAAACCAAACAGGCUUACAUGUAUACUUUUCAAGCAUUCUUUAUACCAAAUAUAAUUGACUUACUGCUUACAUAAGUUCACAAAAUUACCAAAUCAAGAAAGUUAUGAAACCUGAACAUUUAUUAUUGAUCCAAUAAAUCAGUUUGAGGUAAAAUGAACCCUGAGUUGUAGACUUGCAGACCUUUUUUGUUAUUUUUAUGUUCUUAUGUUUGGCCAUUUGUUUUCUUGUUUGAAUUGUUUUACAUUAUUAUUUUUGGUCCUUUGAAAGCUGACUAUGUUAUCAGGGUGUUUUAUAGGUGACUAUGCGGUACGGGCUUUGCUCAUUGUUGAAGGCCAUACGGUGACCUAUAGUUGUUGAUGUCUUUGUGAUUUUGGUCUUUUGUGGAUAGUUGUCUCAUUGGCAAUCAUACCACAUCUUCUUUUUUAUAUGUGAUAUGGGCUUUGUCAAUUUUUGACUGGCGUACAGUGAUCUAUAGUUUUUAAUUUCUGUUUUAUUUUGAAUUGUUUUGGAGAGUUGUUUCAUUGGCCAUUAUACCACACGGCAAGUUGUCUAAUUGACAAUCCUAACACAUCUUCUUGUAAAUACUGCAGGAACCUAUACUUUAU